ensembl:lncRNA
CUUCAAUGAAUGACAUCAUCCCCAGAACAUAAAUCUUGGUUUGUAUGAUUUAUUUAUGUUAAGAAAUCCACAGAUGAUGCUGAGUUUUCAAUGGCUUUGUUUAAGUGAUAGUUUUGCCUUUUUAGUGAAAGUUGGAGUGAUGAUAAACAGCUCCAGCUGUAAAAAUUAAAGGCGGAGGGGAAGCCAAGGUGAUUAUUACAGAAAAAUGCUGAGUGGGGAGGGGCAUUUGGCCCUUCCAUCCUCUAAAAUGAAAAUUACCCUCUGCCACAAUGUGCCACGAACAAUUACCUGCUGUUUAUUAAUUAACCUCCUUUAAAAAUGCCACAUUUCUAUGAGAAACUGUUAUUUCUCCAAUGUGGAAGCUGGCGCUGGCACUCGUUAGAACCACCAGGUUCCACGCGGGCCUGGCUCCCGCACACUUAACGGAUUCCUAUUUCUUCAAACGCACCUUCAUGAUUGGAAAUACCUCAUUAGAGGUGCAGAGACCGAGCGUGACCUGCUCCGUGUGUUAGUCCCCAAGCGAGCCCAAGGCCGCUGGCUGAGGUGUGGGCCCCAUCGGACCCAGGCAGCCCCGGCUCAGUGCCUCAGGGUGUGGGCAAGGGGGGCUCCCCAGCAAGAGGUGGGUUCAGGAAGCACGGACCCCGCAUGGCCUAACCCUCCUGGGCCCAGGCAUGCACGCAGGUGACCAAGAGGCCAGCACCACCUCUGACCUCAUGGGGCAAGGGGGGGGGGGCUGCAAGGAAACCCUAGGCCAGGGCUCCCUCCCUGGUCACACCUCUGUCACCCUGAAAGCCAAUACCCUGGGAUAAAGGUGUGUCGGCAGUGCCUCAUGUGAGUCCUGCUGUGGCUGCCUGAGACAGGUCCCUGUGCCUGAUAGGCUCGUGCCCCUGAGCCUCAGUGGAACCCUCUCAGCACCUGCCACAGGGGUCACUGUGAGCUUCACGGGGCACAAUGUUGAGAUCCAGGGGUGGGAGGGAGCCAGGCGACACCCAGGCCCUGCAGGGCCCAGCAGUGCCCAGGUUUCAGGGAGCCUGAACCCUCCAGAACAGAUUUCACAGAGCUUGAGGGCUCUCCACCGAACCCCAUGUCCUGUGCAUGGAGGGCCCCGCAGCAAGUCCAUUUCCUUCCUAAAUCCCUGUGCUGUCACAGCAGGGCUCUGGUGGCUGGUUCCCUUCAAUGUUCCGGUCACAUGCUGCUGGCACCCACUUGCUGAAUGCCACGUGGGAGCUGGGAUAGACAGGCAGGGGGCUCAGCCUCAGUCCUCUGGUCUUCCAGGAGCUCCUAGGACACCACUCCAGGGGCUCUGCACUCACUGGCUGGCUCGGGCCAGGUGUCAGAGCUCUGCAGGUGGGAGACGCAGACACCACUGGGGGACACACCCUGCAUUCCACUCAGAAGCCCAGGCCCACUCCACCCUGCCCCAGCCUCUCCUAAAUGUAAGUGAAUGGAAGAAAGAACGCUGGGUCUGAACCUGGGGAGACCCGCAGGCCCCCGACAGCAGCUUAGCAGAGCCCAAGGUCAGGAGGAGGGGUCUAGCCAGGGCAAGUAGCACAAACCUGUAAUCUCAGCAUGCUAGAAGGCUGAGGCAGGAGGAUUCCCUUUGAACACAGCCUGGGGAAUUUAGUGACUUAGAGACCCUGUCUGAAGAUAAAAGAUAAAAGGGCUGGGG